UACGUAGGGGGCAAGCGUUGUCCGGAAUUAUUGGGCGUAAAGAGCUUGUAGGCGGUUUGUCGCGUCUGCUGUGAAAUUUCGGGGCUCAACCCCGAACUUGCAGUGGGUACGGGCAGACUAGAGUCCGGAAGAGGAGAGUGGAAUUCCCGGUGUAGCGGUGAAAUGCGCAGAUAUCGGGAAGAACACCCGGUGGCUAAGGCGGCUCUCUAGUACGGUACUGACGCUGAGACGCGAAAGCGUGGGGAGCGAACAGG
rnacentral:rRNA from 1 species